rnacentral:rRNA from 1 species
CCUACGGGUGGCAGCAGUCGGGAAUAUUUCUCAAUGGAGGAAACUCUGACGCAGUGACGCCGCGUAUAGGAAGAAGGUUUUCGGAUUGUAAACUAUUGUUGUUAGGGAAGAUAAAAGACUGUACCUACGGAGUAAGCCUCCUCUAACUAUGUGCCAGCCGCCGCGGUACUACUUAGGGGGCAAGCAUUAGCCGGAAUUAUUGGGUUGAAAGGGUGCGUAGACGGAAGCACAAGUUGGUUGUGAAAUCCCUCGGCUCAACUGAGGAACUGCAACCAAGACUAUUCUCCUUGAGUGUAGGAGAGGAAAGUGGAAUUCCUAGUGUAGCGGUGAAAUGCGUAGAUAUUAGGAGGAACACCAGUGGCGAAGGCGACUUUCUGGACGAUAACUGACGUUGAGGCACGAAAGUGUGGGGAGCAAACAGGAUUAGAUACCCCUGUAGUC